UAAUAUCUCAUGUUUACAUGAAACAA
rnacentral:misc_RNA from 1 species